CACACUAAAGAUUACCUGAUUAAGACUGAGAGCGAUGGAGAGUUAAAGGGAGAGUUCACCCAAAAAUGAAAGUUCUGUCAUCAUUUUUUCACUCUUGCGUCACUUAAUCCUGUUUAACACACACACACACACACAAAAUCAUAAUGACAUAAAAUCAUAAAAGAAUCAUAAAGGCGGUUCGUAUGAAUAGUGCUCUUUUCCAAGUCUCAUGAAUGCACUCAAUAGAUCAGAGUGAGAAAAUUUUACAUUCACCCUGGGUCAGUUUGCCAUGUUAUUGUAAGAGCUAAUGAUAUUUGAUUUCUGAACAAAUUAUUCAAGUCUUUUU